rnacentral:misc_RNA from 1 species
AAUAAACAAUUGCUUUUGAUGGUUUCCUCGUGUUUGCAAAACAGGAAAAAAUUCACAUGGAUAGAAGGCUAUUUAAACUAUUAGUCAAAUCAUUUCUUGAUAUCCAUAGCACUCAGACCUUUUCCGGUUUUAAACUUUAAAACAGCCUGAUCAAAUGUGCCUCUAACAUGUUCGCAGAUAAGCAUAAGAUCCUGACAUGAAUCAUUGAAUACCUCCCUUGCUGGAUCCCCAGUAGUCUGAACUCUUAUAUUCACUCGAGCAUCAGAGGGAUGUGGAAUGCUGUAACCACAAAAUGUUACUCUGGGAUCUUGAUUUAGAGUGAAUCUAACAGCAUUUGCCAGUGUAUGAUCCUCAUCUGUCAGCGAGAAUGUUGCUUUUGACUGAUCUUCAAAUGAACCGUGCUCCAUUGACUUAAAUCAAGACCAAAGAUGUAAACUUUGAUGCUCCACCGCAAGUAAAAGCUUCAAAUUUUGUUGAAAAAAGAAAAUCUAACGGAGAAGUGAUGGCAAAGGUCCAAGAGGAGAAAACGUUCAGGGUUUAGCUAUUUGGACAAAGGACCUAGGUUUUA